GAAGCUGACAGACAAGAGAGGCACGAAUCAAGGCAGCGUUCUGCCAGCCCUAGCCCGAAACGUUCAAGACGCUCAAGCUCUGGCCAUGCCAGGCAUUGGACUCGGUCACGAUCAAGGAGCUCUGGGCGUCACAGGGCAAGUCGACCAAGAAGUCGAAGUCCAAGUCGGCAUUCUGCCAGUCCUUGCCCAAAACAUUCAAGAUGCUCAGGCUCUGGCUAUGCCAGGCAUCGAACUCGGUCACGAUCAAGGAGCUCUGAGCGCCGCAGGACAAGUCGACCAAGAAGUCGAAGCCCAAGGCACCCUUCUAGUCCCAGACACCGGUCAAGGUCUCCGCGGCACUCUAGUAGAUGGUCUCGAAGUUCUUCCAGCAAGGAGAGAAGGAGGCAUGAAUCAAGGUGGCAUUGCCCUGGCUAUGCCAGGCGUCGGACUCGGUCACGAUCAAUGAGCUCUGAGCACUGCAGUACAAGUCGGUCAAGAAGUCGAAGUCCAAGGCGCCUUCCUAGUCCCAGACACCGAUCAAGGUCUCCAGGGCAAUCUUUGCCUUCUAGUAAACGGUCUCGGAGUUCCUCCAGCAAGGAGAGAAGAUCGGGAAGCUCAACUAGAUCCACAGAGGGACGAUGUGCCAAGACACCUUGUUCCAAAAAAGACCGGAAACGGACCCACAGUACUUUAGACAAUCGG